GUUUGAUCCUGGCUCAGAGCGAACGUUAGCGGCGGGGCCUAACACAUGCAAGUCGAACGGGCUGUAGCAAUACAGUCAGUGGCGCACGGGUGAGUAACGCGUAGAUAAUCUACCUUCCGGCGGGGGAUAACAUUCCGAAAGGAAUGCUAAUACCGCAUAAGACCACGGGGUCCUCGGGCCCUGAGGGAAAAGGUGGCCUCUCCUUGGAAGCCAUCACCGGAAGAUGAGUCUGCGUCCCAUCAGCUAGUUGGUAAGGUAAUGGCUUACCAAGGCGAAGACGGGUAGCUGGUCUGAGAGGAUGAUCAGCCACACUGGUACUGGAACACGGACCAGACUCCUACGGGAGGCAGCAGUGGGGAAUAUUGGGCAAUGGGCGAAAGCCUGACCCAGCCACGCCGCGUGAGUGAUGAAGGCCUGGUU
rnacentral:rRNA from 1 species